rnacentral:rRNA from 1 species
UACAGAGGGUGCGAGCGUUGUUCGGAAUUACUGGGCGUAAAGCGCACGCAGGUGGCUGAGUCAGUCGAUUGUGAAAGCCCUGGGCUUAACCUGGGAAUUGCAGUCGAUACUACUCAGCUAGAGUAUGGGGAGAGGGCAGUGGAAUUCCCGGUGUAGCGGUGAAAUGCGUAGAUAUCGGAAGGAACAUCAGUGGCGAAAGCGGCUUCCUGGACCAGCACCGACGUCAGGCACGAAAGCGUGGGGAGCAAACAGG